rnacentral:rRNA from 1 species
UACGUAGGGUGCGAGCGUUGUCCGGAAUUAUUGGGCGUAAAGAGCUUGUAGGCGGUCUGUCGCGUCUGCUGUGAAAAUCCGGGGCUCAACCCCGGACUUGCAGUGGGUACGGGCAGACUAGAGCGUGGUAGGGGAGACUGGAAUUCCUGGUGUAGCGGUGAAAUGCGCAGAUAUCAGGAGGAACACCGAUGGCGAAGGCAGGUCUCUGGGCCACUACUGACGCUGAGAAGCGAAAGCAUGGGGAGCGAACAGG